rnacentral:rRNA from 1 species
GACGAACGCUGGCGGCGUGCUUAACACAUGCAAGUCGAACGGAAAGGCCCUGCUUUUGUGGGGUGCUCGAGUGGCGAACGGGUGAGUAACACGUGAGUAACCUGCCCUUGACUUUGGGAUAACUUCAGGAAACUGGGGCUAAUACCGGAUAGGAGCCCCUGCUGCAUGGUGGGGGUUGGAAAGUUUCGGCGGUUGUGGAUGGACUCGCGGCUUAUCAGCUUGUUGGUGGGGUAGUGGCUUACCAAGGCUUUGACGGGUAGCCGGCCUGAGAGGGUGACCGGCCACAUUGGGACUGGGAUACGGCCCAGACUCCUACGGGAGGCAGCAGUGGGGAAUAUUGCACAAUGGGCGGAAGCCUGAUGCAGCAACGCCGCGUGCGGGAUGACGGCCUUCGGGUUGUAAACCGCUUUCGCCUGUGACGAAGCGUGAGUGACGGUAAUGGGUAAAGAAGCACCGGCUAACUACGUG